rnacentral:rRNA from 1 species
AUUGAACGCUGGCGGCAUGCCUUACACAUGCAAGUCGAACGGCAGCAGGCUAAUCGGGGUGCCGGAGAGUGGCGGACGGGUGGGUAAUGCAUCGGAACGUCCCCGGCUGAGGGGGCUAACCGGCCGAAAGAGGGGCAAAUACCGCAUGAACUCGGACGAGCAACGCGGGGGAGCAUCGGGCCUCGGGACCUCGGGCGAGCGGAUGGGCGGAUUGGCUAGUUGGUGGGGUAAAGGCCCACCAAGGCGACGAUCGGUAGCUGGUCUGAGAGGAUGAUCCGCCACACUGGGACUGAGACACGGUCCAGACUCCUACGGGAGGCAGCAGUGGGGAAUCUUGGACAAUGGGCGCAAGCCUGAUCCAGCAAUGCCGCGUGGGUGAAGAAGGCCUUCGGGUUGUAAAGCCCUUUUGGCGGGGAAGAAAUCGGUCAGGCGAAUAGUCUGGCCGGAUGACGGUACCCGCAGAAGAAGCACCGGCUAACUACGUG